GAUGAACGCUGGCGGCGUGCCUAAUACAUGCAAGUCGAGCGCGAGAAUGAGGAGCUUGCUCCUCAUAAUCGAGCGGCGGACGGGUGAGUAACACGUAGGCAACCUACCCUUGAGAUUGGGAUAACUACCGGAAACGGUAGCUAAUACCGGAUACGACUUUUCCACACAAGUGGAAUUGUUAAAAGGCGGAUUUAUCUGCCGCUCAUGGAUGGGCCUGCGGUGCAUUAGCUAGUUGGUGAGGUAGUGGCUCACCAAGGCGACGAUGCAUAGCCGGCCUGGGAGGGUGAGCGGCCACACUGGGACUGAGACACGGCCCAGACUCCUACGGGAGUCAGCAGUAGGGAAUCUUCCGCAAUGGACGCAAGUCUGACGGGGCAACGCCGCGUGAGUGAUGAAGGGUUUCGGCUCGUAAAACUCUGUUGUUAAGGAAGAACACUUGAGGUAGUAACUGGCCUUGAGAUGACGGUACUUAACCAGAAAGCCACGGCUAACUACGUGCCAGCCGCCGCAGUAA
rnacentral:rRNA from 1 species